rnacentral:ncRNA from 2 species
GUCUGAUUAGUUAGUUGGUGAGGUAAUGGCUUACCAAGGUGACGAUCAGUAGCUGGUUCGAGAGGAUGAUCAGCCACACUGGGACUGAGACAUGGCCCAGACUCCUACUGGAGGCAACAGUGGGGAAUUUUCCGUAAUGGACGAAAGCCUGACGGAGCAAUGUCAUGUGAAGGCAGAAGGCCCACGGGUCAUGAACUUAUUUUCUCGGAGAAGAAACAAUGACGGUAUCUGAGGAAUAAGCAUCGGCUAGCUCUGUACCAGUAGCCGUGGUAAGACAGAGGAUGCAAGCGUUAUCCGGAAUGAUUGGGCAUAAAGCGUCUGUAGGUGGCUUUUCAAGUCCACCGUCAAAUCCCAGGGCCCAACCCUGGACAGGUGGUGGAAACUACCAAGCUGGAGUAUGGUAGGGGAAGAGGGAAUUUUCGGUGGAGCGGUGAAAUGCAUUGAGAUCGAAAAGAACACCAACGACGAAAGCACUCUACUGGGCCAACACUGACACUGAGAGACGAAAGCUAGGGGAGAAAAUGGGAUUAGAUAGCCAAGUAGUCCUAGCCAUAAACGAUGGAUACUAAGUGUUGUGCGUAUCAACCCACGCAGUGUUGUAACUAACACGUUAAGUAUCCCACCUGGGGAGUACGUUCGCAAGAAUGAAACAUAAAGGAAUUGAUGGGGGGCUGCACAAGUGGUGAAGCAUGUGGUUUAAUUCGAUGCAAAGCGAAGAACCUUACCAGAGCUUGACAUGCCGUGAAUCCUCCUGAAAGAGAGGAGUGCCUUCGAGAACGCAGACACAGGUGGUGCAUGGCUGUCAUUAGCUCGUGCCAUAAGGUGUUGGGUUAAGUUCCACAAUGAGCGCAACCCUCGUGUUUAGUUUCCAGCAUUGAGUUUGGAACCCUGAACAGACUGUCGGUGAUAAGCCGGAGGAAUGUGAGGAUGACGUCAAUUCAUCAUGCCCCUUACGCCCUGGGCGACACACGUGCUACAAUGACCGGGACAAAGGGUCAUGACUCUGCGAGGGAAAGCUAACCUCAAAAACCCGGCCUCAGUUCAGAUUGCAGUCUACAACUCGCCUACAUGAAGCCGUAAUC